rnacentral:rRNA from 1 species
GCCAGACUCCUACGGGAGGCAGCAGUGGGGAAUAUUGCACAAUGGGGGAAACCCUGAUGCAGCAACGCCGCGUGAAGGAAGGCGGUUUUCGGAUUGUAAACUUCUGUUCUUAGUGAAGAAGAAUGACGGUAGCUAAGGAGCAAGCCACGGCUAACUACGUGCCAGCAGCCGCGGUAAUACGGAGGAUGCGAGCGUUAUCCGGAUUUAUUGGGUUUAAAGGGUGCGUAGGCGGUUUUUUAAGUUAGUGGUUAAACGUCGGGGCUUCACCUUGAUUUGCCAUUAAUACUGUAAGACUUGAGUUCAGACGAGGUAGGCGGAAUAAGUUAAGUAGCGGUGAAAUGCUUAGAUAUAACGUAGAACUCCGAUAGCGAAGGCAGCUUACCAGACUGCGACUGACGCUGAAGCACGAGAGCGUGGGUAGCGAACAGGAUUAGAUACCCUGGUAAC